AAUCAAAUUUCAUGGGUUUAACAACAACAUUUUCAUUAUUCACACAAUUCAAUCAAAUUUCAUGGGUUUAACAUCAACAUUUCAUCAUUUCCACCAUUCAAUCAAAUUUCAUAGGUUUAACNUCAUGGGUUUAACAUCAACAUUUCAUCAUUUCCACCAUUCAAUCAAAUUUCAUAGAUUUAACAACAACGUUUUCAUCAUUCACACAAUUCAAUCAAAUUUCAUAGGUUUAAGAACA
rnacentral:lncRNA from 1 species